rnacentral:tmRNA from 1 species
GGGGGCGACCUGGCUUCGACGUGGGUUGCGAAACCUGAUGUGCAUGCCGAGAAAGAGUACUCUCGUAAAUCAGUCUCACUAAAUAUAAAUGCAAACGAUGAAAACUUUGCUGGUGGUGAAGCUGUCGCUGCGUAAGCUUUGAUAGUCAACUACCGAUAGUGCGCUGCCAUAAAACCAGCGCCCCGUUGACCGAGCUCGCUUAUCGGUAUCGAAUCAACGGUCAUAAGAGAUAAGCUCGCAUCUUGGUUCGUCCCGCACCAAGAUGUUAAAUCAAGGGAAUCGCCGUGUCCCAUCCUGCCUGUCGGAGAGGCCACGGUUAACUAAAAAGACAAGGCUAAGCAUGUAGAUCUGACGGCAGAGGAUUUGCGGACGCGGGUUCGAUUCCCGCCGCCUCCACCA